CGCGCUCCCGCCGCGGCGCGCCGGCUGCAAACUUUAGCAUCUCCCGGUCUGGCAUCCGCUGGAGGGAAGAGAGAGAGAAGCGUCUCCCGUGGCUUCUCCUGCAAAGAGGCACGUCUGAAGCACUGAGGGAAGCUCUUUGCUGCAGCCCAGCGGCCACUGGUAGAUCUUGGAAAGUGGAGGCUGGAGGCGCCGCUUAGAGAGGGUCCCAUGGAGGAGCAGCACCCAGGCCUGGCGGUGGCCGAGGCACCUUUGGUACCUGGAGCUUGUUUUAUCGGCCAGAAGCCUUGAGGUGUGACAGCUCUGGUACCUGCUAAAGCAGCUCAGAGAUGGCUGAAGAGUCUCCCGCAAAGCAUUGACACUGGUUUCAGGAACGGAGGUCACAGUGAUGGUCAAGGUGCCCUGAGCCCUUAUUCUGUUCAAUUGUAUUCCUCGUCUCCAUCAAUCCGUGCAGCAGCCUUUCAGAUAGAUACCGUUACUGACCCAUUUGACAGAUGGGUCAGGUGGAAACUGAGGUCACGCCUCUAUCAAAGGAGAGCCGGGAUUUGAACAAAGUGCCCUGAUUUCAGCACCAUGCUUCUAACCACGGCCAGCACCCUACAGUCUGACACCCAGCUGGCCUGAGACUCCGUGGGAAGUGCUUUAGGGAAGAGGUGGAUGUGUCACUCCCCUCUCUGAGCCUUCAUUCCCUGAGGCCCGCAAAACAGGGGUGAAGCACGAAGCUCACCUCAGCUGGGUUGUUCAUUUGGGGGAUAUGAGAUAAUCCAAGUGACCUGUCCAGCAAGAAGCCUGGAAUCCAGAAAGGGAUUUUUUAACUCAAGGAUGAAUGAAUAAAUAA